AAAUAUUAUAUAUCUAUAUUUACAAAUGUGCUAGUAAAUUUUGUUCAAUAUUAUGUCUCUUUCAGUUAUUUGUAUUCUUACCACAGUCACUAUUAAAAAUAAAUUUUAGCAAAAUUUAACUGAUUUAUUGUUAAUUAUUUCUAUAGUAUAACCAACAAAAAAUGUUUUAAAAAUUAUGAUAGAGUAAUGAUAGAGUCACAAUUAUCUUAUAAAAACUAAUAUGGCUUUAGGAGAUUGAUUGUAUAAAAUGAUCAUGGGUCCACAUAACAAAAAUAUAAUAAUUAUCACUUUUCAAUCAAUAUCUUCAUGUCAUAUCAAUUUGUAAAUAUUAAUUUACAUAAAAUUAUUUGUGCUCUAUUAUUAUGGGUUACAAUAUUAUCAAACUCGCCACAGAAAACCUUAGAACUUAAACAUAAGUUCUAUUGAUGAUGAGCACAAGACAUGGACCAAAUUUUUUACUGUCUCACAAGUUCCUCCCGGCGAGUAUGACUACCAUGCGUCCCCCAAAAUAUAAUGCCAAGAAUCACUUCAUUAUUUUAAGCUUGGAGGCCACAUGGCGAAAAGAUGUCUUGUUGCUUCAUUACUUUCCUCAUCCACAAUGGGCAUCUCCCUAUAUUGUUACAAUUUUAUGGAAUGUUCAGAAGCGGGUGGCAACUACAGUACAUGCAUAAAAAAUUACCAUUUGAUUAAAUAGAGUGGACCCAAUGGUUGAGUUUCAUCUUAGUGUCAAAUACUAAAAAAAUUUGUAAGAAAUGGAAACCUGUAAAACUGGUAACUUGAAACUUUGGACCAAUAAAUGUGAAACACAUACCAUUAAUCUUGGUAUUAGGACCAUUAAACUUGAAACCGAAGUAACUUGAAACUUUGGGCAAUGAACAUGAAACUUGGGACCAUAAACUUGCAAUCCUAAGAAUCAUACAAAUCAUGGACCAAUAAAUAUGAAACAAUCACUAAUCUUGAUAUUAAGACCAUUAAACUUGAAACUAAAGUAACUUGAAACUUAGGGCAAUGAACAUGAAACUUGAGAUCAUUAACUUGCAAUCCAAAAAUACAUACAAAUCAUGGACCAAUAAAUAUGAAACAACUACCAUUAAUAUUGAUAUAAGGACCAUUAAACUUGAAAAUAAAAUAACUUGAAACUGAGAACAAUGAACAUAAAACUUGAGUUUAUUAACUUUCACCCCUGAAAAUCAUGCAAUUAAUGGACCAAUAAACACGAACACCUACCUCUAACUUGAUACUGAGACCAUUAAACUUGAAACUAAAGGAACUUGAGAUUGAGAGCAAUGAACAUGAAACUUGAGACCAUUAACUUGCAACCCUGAAAAAUCAUGUAAUUAAUGGACCAUUAAACUUGAAACCACAAAAAACUUGAAUCUGAGAGCAAUAAACAUGAAACCUGGGGUCAUUAACUUGCAACCCUGAAAAUCAUGUAAUUAAUAGGCCAAUAAACAUGAAACAUCUACCGUUAACUAGAUAUUAGGACCAUUAAACUUGAAAUUAAAAGAACUUAAAAUUGAGGGCAAUGACUAUGAAACUUGCAAUUAUUAACUUGCAACCUUAGAAAUCAUGCAAUUAAUGGACCAAUAAAUAAAAAACACAUAUCGUUGACUUGAUACUGAGAUCAUUAAACUUGAAAUUAAAGGAACUUAAAACCGAGGGCAAUAAACAUGAAACUUGUAAUCAUUAACUUGCAACCAUGGAAAUCAUGCAAUUAAUGGACCAAUAAAGGCGAAACACUUACUGUUAACUUGAUACUGGGACCAUUAAACUUGAAAUCAAAUGAACUUAAAACUGAAGACAAUGAACAUGAAACUUGCGAUUAUUAACUUGCAACCUUGAAAAUCAUGCAAUUAAUGGACCAAUAAAGGUGAAACACUUACUGUUACCUUGAUACUGGGACCAUUAAACUUGAAAUCAAAUGAACUUGAAACUGAAGACAAUGAACAUGAAACUUGCGAUUAUUAACUUGCAACCUUGAAAAUCAUGCAAUUAAUGGACCAAUAAAGGUGAAACACUUACUGUUAACUUGAUACUGGGACCAUUAAACUUGAAAUCAAAUGAACUUGAAACUGAAGACAAUGAACAUGAAACUUGCGAUUAUUAACUUGCAAUCUUGAAAAUCAUGCAAUUAAUGGACCAAUAAACACGAAACACUAUCGUUAAUUUGAUAUUGGGAUCAUUAAACUUGAAAUUAAAGGAAAUAAAAACCGAGGGCAAUGAAUAUGAAACUUGGAAUCAUUAACUUGCAACCCUGAAAAUCAUGUAAUUAAUGAAUCAAUAAACAUGAAACACCUAUCGUUAACUUGAUACUAGUA
rnacentral:lncRNA from 1 species